GUGUAAGUCAAUGUUUUUUUUAUUUCAUAUUUCAUAAAUAUAAUAUUAUUAAUCAUUUCAAGAGCAACUUCAAAAAAAUUUCAAGUUCAAAUCUCUAAGACAGAAGUACGAAAUUUCGAUUUUUAUAAAUCAUUUGUAACACAAGCUCAAUCAGGAGACAUGGAGGAUCAGAUAGAAGUACGAAAUUCCGAUUUAAAACAAGAUGAAGUGGCUAUAGCCAUGGUUCCAUUUCCAGGACAAGGCCAUCUUAAUCAACUUCUUCAACUUGCUUGUUUAAUCACCUCAUCAUAUGAUGAUCUUCCAGUCUAUUAUGUUGGCUCAGCUACACAUAAUCUUCAAGCUCGUGUUCGAGCCAACGCGUUAAAUCCUUCAGACAUAGCCAAAAUUCAUUUCCAUGAAAUCCCAACACCUGAUUAUACCUCUCCUGCACCUGAUCCUAAUGCAUUGAGCAAUUUCCAUCACAUCUUGAGCCAUCAUGGGAUGCUUGUAUGCUUCUUCGCGAGCCUAUUGCUUCCUUCUUACGCGAUAUUUCCUCAAAAUCAAGACGAGUCGUUGUUGUUCAUGAUUCUUUAAUGUCCUAUAACGUUCAGGACGUUUCAUCCUUGCACAACGCGGAAUCCUAUAUAUUUAAUUGCAUUUCUGUGUUCACUUUCUACUGUAUUAUAUGUCUGUCUGUUGGAAUGUCUGUUCAACUUGAAGAGGAAUUGCUUAAAAAGUUACCUUCCCUUGAUGGAAUUAUGACGGAUAAAAUCAGAGAUCGCGGAGCUUCUCAGAGUCCAUAUUUAGAUAUUAGAUCAGGUGAUAUACAUAAUACAAGCAAAGUGAUUGAAGGUAAGUUUCUUGAUUUGUUAGCACAAGUAGCAAGUGAUCAGAACAAGAAAAAUUGGGCAAUUGGACCACUUUUGCCUACUAAAAUAGAUCGUAUCUCGAAUAGGGAGGAUAUAUGUUUGGAUUGGCUUAACAAACAACCUCCAAGAUCAGUACUUUAUGUGUCUUUUGGAACAACAACUUCAUUUUCUGAUAGGGAAAUCAAGGAGCUCGCGAUGGGAUUAGAGCAGAGCAAACAGAGGUUUAUAUGGGUGUUGAGGGACGCGGAUAGAGGAGAUAUCUUUACUGAGGAAGCUAGGAGAGUUGAGUUGCCUGAAGGGUUUGAGGAAAGAGUAAAAGGGGUCGGGUUAGUGGUAAGAGAAUGGGCACCACAACCAGAAAUCUUGGCUCAUUCGUCUACAGGCGGGUUCAUGAGUCAUUGUGGAUGGAAUUCUUGUAUAGAGAGUAUAACUAUGGGGGUGCCUAUAGCUGCUUGGCCUAUGCACUCUGAUCAACCAAUGACUGGUUUCUUGGUGACGGACGUGUUAAAAAUAGGCCUGAUUGUGAGGGAGUGGGAGAAACGCGAGGAGCUGGUGAAUGCAUCCACUAUUGAGGACGUCGUGAGGAAGUUGAUGGCAUCAGAAGAAGGCAAUGUGAUUAGAAAAAAGAGCAGAAGAAUUGGGAGAAGCUGUAAGACAGUCCACAGAGAAAGGGGGAGCUUCUCGAAUAGAGUUGGAUUCUUUCAUCGCGCAUAUCACAAGAUAGACUUCAUCUUCUAGCUCUCAACAACUAAUGAAUAUUGAUUCAGAAAAACAAAGAACAUUGCUGGUUACUUGUUUAUGUUAUCAUUUCGAUCGCGUUUACUAUUUUACAUCGUGGCAAGAGAGAUAGUUCUUCUAUUUGUAUAAUGUCUUGCUGUAGCCAUUUUCAGUGUGAUUCUGUUGGUCUCUCGAUAAAGAAAAUGACUUACGCGAUGAUAAUAACUAUUAGUACUUUA